rnacentral:rRNA from 1 species
GACAGAGGGUGCAAACGUUGUUCGGAAUUACUGGGCGUAAAGCGCGUGUAGGCGGCUCGGCAAGUCGGGUGUGAAAGCCCUGGGCUUAACCUAGGAAGUGCACUCGAAACUGCCAAGCUUGAGUUCUGGAGAGGAAGGCGGAAUUCUCGGUGUAGAGGUGAAAUUCGUAGAUAUCGAGAGGAGCACCGGUGGCGAAGGCGGCCUUCUGGACAGCAACUGACGCUGAGACGCGAAAGCGUGGGGAGCAAACAGG